rnacentral:lncRNA from 1 species
AUACUAUAUCAAACCAAUGUCUCAACGAGACGAUAAGUUGGAGUCUUGACGACGGUAAAACAAGUGGUCUAACCGACACACGCGAUUACACGAAAGUAGCAAAGAUGGCUAAACUUUAUCUAAUCAAAACCCAACUCCUUAGGGGGGCUCAUGGGGUAUAUAAAGGAGGAGGGAGAGAUAUUUUCUUCCACCUUGAGUAAGGAGGCCGAAAUCCAACUCUAUCUCUAACUUUCCUAACAAACUACAACUCUUUAAGAAACAGAAAAACAGAUCCGUCAGCUUGUUUUGUCCGCCACGGUCAGCACGAGUCGAAUCUCUUGAUGGGGCCAGAUCCGUUGGAAAGGUCUUGUAAUUACCUUUCCAACAAGUACUUGUUUGCUUGAUUUGGACUCCGGAUGCAGCCUGGGUGAUUAAAACAAAUUCGGGUCUCCUGACAGCUCGGACCCGGAUCAGAUUCAACUUUCAUUCAUGAUAUCUUUCUGUAGCAAGCUCCGAAUCAUGUGCCGUUUGAUUUGUUGGAAAUUAGACUUGAUAGGCUUCACUUUAAAUCUCCCUUUGCAGGCUAUCACACUUCAUCUUCACUUUGGACUUGUAAAGUUCAAUAAGAUGCCUACAUAAUAAGAUUACACAAGAUAGUAGCUCCGCCUCUUUGCAAGUAACAUAUUGAAAACAUUUUGUAAUUGAAUUCACCUGAUUAUCAUUGUUAUUAGAUACACCAACAAUUAGGGUGUAAUGGUCGUAUCCAUGGUUAGCAUGUCCAUAUCAUCCUCCCUUUCUUGAAAGGAAAGCCGUCCUCCGCGUCGUUUCUGCUGAAAAUUUGCUAACAAAAGAGACAAGUUAUGCGCAUGGUAUAUGUAUAUAUCGUUAUUUUUAACUUUCUUUCUUUCCUUUGUUUUUUCUUUCCUUUUUUUUUUCACAACUUUCCGAACAACUUGAUCUCUAAACAAAAUUCGAUCUAUUAUGAAACACUUUCCAAAAGCACUCUUGAUUGGACUCGGACUCGAACUCGCGGCUGAAAACUAUAACUUGCCGAGUCGAUGUAGGACUCGAAGAGGGACACGGUGUAGGACUUUUUCCUUUCUUUUUUUCACAACUUUCCGAACAACUUGAUCUCUAAACAAAAUUCGAUCUAUUAUGAAACACUUUCCAAAAGCACUCUUGAUUGGACUCGGACUCGAACUCGCGGCUGAAAACUAUAACUUGCCGAGUCGAUGUAGGACUCGAAGAGGGACACGGUGUAGGACUUUUUCCUUUCUUUUUUUCACAACUUUCCGAACAACUUGAUCUCUAAACAAAAUUCGAUCUAUUAUGAAACACUUUCCAAAAGCACUCUUGAUUGGACUCGGACUCGAACUCGCGGCUGAAAACUAUAACUUGCCGACUCGAUGUAGGACUCGACGAGGGACACGGUGUAGGACUCGAAGAGGGACUCGGUGGAAGAUAUGGUGGCGGCGGGAGAUUAUGGCGGUGGUGUGGUAGGAAGUUUGGCAGCGGAAGAUUGAUGAAGGAAACCUGCGUCACACGAAGAACAAGAAAACCAAAAGCAAGUUCGAUCUAGUAGAAAAAAUCUGAAAAACGAUCCAAUCUAAUCCAGCAACUCGACACGAUUAAUGCAGCAAAGAUUCAACAAUGCAAAUACUAAUGUGGAAAUUGCAAGGCUCAGAUUGGUUCUAGGACAAGGUAACUAAUUCUAAUUUUUGUUUAGCUUUUUCUGGACGAUAGAUAAAAACAGAUCUAAAGUACGGAUAAAUUGGAAAAAUCUCACCGAGCAACCUUAAGCUCUGAUACCACGUGAUGUGGAUCAGGGUGGUCCGAUCUUUCGAUGAGAUUGAUAACUCUCGAUUUGGGUAGGAGGUGACGUUGAUGAUCCAACUACGGCCUAGGAGGCAGCGCCUUAGCAAUGGAUACACCAACUCCAGAGGGUUAUUGAUCACGCGGGGGCACGAUCAACCUGACCACGAAGGU